rnacentral:rRNA from 1 species
AGACACGGCCCAGACUCCUACGGGAGGCAGCAGUGGGGAAUAUUGCACAAUGGGCGAAAGCCUGAUGCAGCGACGCCGCGUGGGGGAUGACGGCCUUCGGGUUGUAAACCUCUUUCAGCAAGGAAGAAGCGAAAGUGACGGUACUUGCAGAAGAAGCGCCGGCUAACUACGUGCCAGCAGCCGCGGUAAUACGUAGGGCGCAAGCGUUGUCCGGAAUUAUUGGGCGUAAAGGGCUUGUAGGUGGCUUGUCGCGUCUGCCGUGAAAACCCAGGGCUUAACCUUGGGCGUGCGGUGGGUACGGGCAGGCUAGAGUGCGGUAGGGGAGACUGGAAUUCCUGGUGUAGCGGUGAAAUGCGCAGAUAUCAGGAGGAACACCGAUGGCGAAGGCAGGUCUCUGGGCCGUUACUGACACUGAGAAGCGAAAGCAUGGGGAGCGAACAGGAUUAGAUACCCUGGUAGUCCAUGCCGUAAACGUUGGGCACUAGGUGUGGGGAGCAUUCCACGUUUUCCGCGCCGUAGCUAACGCAUUAAGUGCCCCGCCUGGGGAGUACGGCCGCAAGGCUAAAACUCAAAGGAAUUGACGGGGGCCCGCACAAGCGGCGGAGCAUGCGGAUUAAUUCGAUGCAACGCGAAGAACCUUACCAAGGCUUGACAUGCACUGGAUCGCUGCAGAGAUGUGGUUUUCUUUGGACUGGUGCACAGGUGGUGCAUGGUUGUCGUCAGCUCGUGUCGUGAGAUGUUGGGUUAAGUCCCGCAACGAGCGCAACCCUCGUUCCAUGUUGCCAGCACUUCGGGUGGGGACUCAUGGGAGACUGCCGGGGUCAACUCGGAGGAAGGUGGGGACGACGUCAAAUCAUCAUGCCCCUUAUGUCUUGGGCUUCACGCGUGCUACAAUGGUCGGUACAAUGGGUUGCGAUACUGUGAGGUGGAGCUAAUCCCAAAAAGCCGGUCUCAGUUCGGAUUGGGGUCUGCAACUCGACCCUAUGAAGUCGGAGUCGCUAGUAAUCGCAGAUCAGCAAUGCUGCGGUGAAUACGUUCCCGGGCCUUGUACACACCGCCCGUCAAGUCACGAAAGUCGGUAACACCCGAAGCCGAUGGCCCAAGCUUUAUGCAGGGAGUCGUCGAAGGUGGGAUCGGUGAUUGGGACUAAGUCGUAACAAGGUAGCCGUACCGGAAGGUGCGGCUG